UCCUACUCUCAAUUUUCACAGUAAAGUAUCAAAGGUUUAGGCCGGAAAAGCUACCAAAUACCGUGUUAGACAUGCGUGAAAGAUAUAGGCAACGAGGAUUACCGAAAAGGCUACAUGAGCCACGAUGAAGUAGGCCACUGUAUUUCGAACACAAAUGAAUCCGGAUGCCGUCAAUAUUUCAUCGAGGAAUUAAGAGAACUACAUAGGCCCAGGGUACAACUCAGCGGAAUACGUACGUGUAUAUCUAUAUAAAUCAGGAAGAUUACACUGCACAGAUCGGGUUUAUUUCGGAUAAAAAGGAGGGCAACCAUUUUAAAGCAGAUGUGUGAACACAGGACGGAUCUAUGGCCUCCCACAGGCAUAAACCCCAUUCGCUUGGACUGGAUGCCAAUUUGCCAGUCUUUGCUGCGAUCAUGGUCGUCUUAACUAAGUGAGACCGACCCAAAAGGACCGCCUACUCAACACGCUCUGGUGAUAAAUUCGUUAUAUGAUGCAAGAAAGAUCUUACAUAAGAUCAUUUAUAACGGGGAUCGAAGUACGUUAGCUUUUGUUCCAUUUGAUUGAACAUCUAAAGCUAAUGGAUACUCCAGUGGGCUUCCAGAAGGAGAUCUCCCAACCAGGAGACCGUCAGAAUUGAUUAUGAAGAAAAAUGGCCUGUCAUAAAUAUUGACACAGAUAUUUAGGAUUCUAUAAAAGUGUAGUCGUUACACUUUUCGAUGGAUACUACAAAUUGUUCUACCUGACUGCCCUUAUAGGUCAACAACGAAGACGUUAGCAACUACUUUCAGCUUGGGGUAGGUGAAGGGCUUGUGCGGACCGCCAUUCUUAUCCAAGUCAUGUUUACGUCGUUUCCUAAUUGGCAUACAGUCACCUUAGAGAGGAAUUCCCAAGACACUGAGUCUUCCACUUGAGGUAUGACCAAACCUGCGCCGGACGGCACAUGCGCGUAUAGCGUAUACUCUCCGAUACUAUAAAUACAGGUUUGUAUUUAUGAAUCAUCUCGAUGGCUUUCACACCCUUAGCUUGGCGACGAUACAGUGAAGACGCAAUGUAGAUAUUUCUGCAAGAAAAGCCUUCCAACUAGAAGAUAAAAAACAACUUCCGCGUGGACUUUCGUGUACGAUUUUUUAGGAGAAUUAAUUUUCGGAGCAAUAAGGUAUCAACAGUGGUUAGAGUUUUGUGAAAUGUAAAAGUUACAAACUUUGUUUUUCGAGCUUUAAACGAGUUAGUGGUCUCUUCUCCCGGCAAGCGCUGAAGAUGUAUCAAAGAUAUCGAUAUAUUCGCAUCCCUCUGAUUUGAUGAAGCGGUCUAAUAGUCACACAGAAUUUUGAAAAUCAGAGCCACUUUCGGCUGGAGAUAACGAAGAAUAUCAACGGGCUGACACCAUCACAAUGAUGCCUUCAUUGCAAUGGGAGCGUGGGCGGAAUAAUAAGGAAACGGAGCACCUGCUCCAGGGUCACCGGGGGAUUCGGGUGCGAUACAGGAAUAUCUUAAAUGGGACAAGAACUAGACAAUUGAAUCGCUAAAGCAUGGUAAUAGGGCAACUCAGCAAAACCACUGAGUUGUUGGAACAACGCUUGUUGUGGUAUCGAAACAAGCCGAAGGGAACACUGUAUUAAGCCCGGAUUCAAAACUUGAGUUCAGGCCAAGCACAGUUGCCCUUGCUCAAGGACUGGGACUAGGCGUUAACUCCUGCUGGUUGCACCGCAUCGUUACGCCAAACCAAAACUACAGGUGGUACAUCUGGAAGGGGAAAAUUUCAGGAGAGCAGGAGAAGGAUAGAAUAUGAAUCAAGGACAAUACUUUGAUACACCAGUCUGGACAAAGCCGUGUAUGUUUUCGAUGAAAUUAGGUGUUACAAGCGAUUUCCAGGUCUGAUGUUGAAUACCUCGUUCAGUCAAACGCGCUACAAAUUUCACUUGCCAGUGAUCGGAAAUGACAGACGCAAGAUCUGGAGAUCAGGGGUCUUCCUGUCACCCAGGCCAAUAGCCCAUGCUACAGUUAAGUCUUGCUUCGUACUCUGGGCACAUGCGUACCCAUUAUUUGAUUGCCACUGUUUGUGUCACACAAUGCAUGUGGCACCGACGAGCGCAUCAUCAUCGCCGCUUGAUAGCUUUGGUACGACAGCGUAAGAAGUGUACAUUCAC